rnacentral:rRNA from 1 species
CACGUAGGGCGCAAGCGUUGUCCGGAAUUAUUGGGCGUAAAGAGCUCGUAGGCGGUCUGUUGCGUCUGCUGUGAAAACCCGGGGCUUAACCCCUGGCUUGCAGUGGAUACGGACAGACUAGAGGUAGGUAGGGGAGAAUGGAAUUCCUGGUGUAGCGGUGAAAUGCGCAGAUAUCAGGAGGAACACCGGUGGCGAAGGCGGAUCUCUGGGCCUUACCUGACGCUCAGGUGCGAAAGCUAGGGGAGCGAACAGG